UAUUCAGUUUUUUGCUGUCCCUCCCCUUGUUUAUUGGUGCCAUCUGGCACAUCUCAUGCAGUAGACAUCUAUCUUGUCACAAAUGCGAACUACUAACAAACUAGUGAACUACUCUACACUUCCAGUGAGGUGAUCACAUUUUGCUGCCUUCUGCAUUCAGUAGGAGCAUCACCUCCUGCAAGCACCCAAAAAGCAAGAGGCAGUCUCUUGCGGAGGGCUAUUUAGCUUCUAGGAAAGCUGAGCUGUUGCCUGACACCCACCAUUUUUCUUUGUGUGUUUUUACAGGGAACCUGUGUUGACUGACUCCUAAUUUAGGGUCCUUUGGUUAGAUGAAAUGAACCUGAGCCCUCGACAGGACUUGAGUUUUGCAGAAAACCUAUGGGCCUGAAGCAGCUAUCAGCCAUCCCUGUGUCUUCAGAGCCAGAGUCGGCUGUGGUGCAGCAGUCCAUGGUGUCACACAGGGCAUACUUAGAUCUCCUCUAAUGUACAACGGCUGUGGCACCACCAGUCCCGGUUUUGUCUGGCUCCCAUGAAUGCCCAGGAAAUGGCUGCUGUCAUCUGUGUUAUGGAGCUGGAGCAUCAGCUGAGUGCAGGGCAGCUACCUCUGACAACCCUGACAGCUGGGCAGCUGCUGUUGGAUGAAGUUCUGUGGAGCACCCAUCCUACACACUGGUUUCAACCUUCCCGCAGGGUGGUGGUCUAAAGCAGCCUGGAUACUCAGAGAGGCAGAUAUCUGUAGCAAGAUGUGGUGUUCACCAUUCGGAGAUGAAAAUCCCAUCUGGAAGAGGAAGACAGAAAAGGAACACUGAACUUUCCUAUGCUGCAAUAUGAAGUUGUUUUGAGGUUUUUUUUUUUUCUGCUCUGUCAUGCACAUUUUUCUAAUCUGAAUUCAAGCCUAAUGUCAUCUGCCUUCGUUUCCUCAGUGCAUAUGUGGUUUUCACAUGUGCUCAUCAGUUUGAGGACAAAUUCUUACAUGGCAGGGAAUGGGUCCAAAUGGCUCAUCCAUUUUGUCAAAGCUGAUUUAUCAUCAGGAUCAAAGCAAGUCUCUUUUUGAAGAUAUUUCCCCUGCUGCUUCUCCAGCUUCCUAGGGACUUGUUUCUCCUCUCCUUGUUUCUGGGGAGGGAGGCUCUCCUUUUCUGUUUCUGUGUUAUCUUGUUUCCUUACUGCAGUUGUGCUGGGUAUGGUCUGAAGCCCAUAAUCUCUGUGGAGCUGCUCUGCCUCUGGAAUUUUCUUUGUCCUCUCUGUGUUUUUUCUUUGCUUUCCUCUGGGUUUCUAAACUUCUUUUGUGUCUCUUCUCCUAAUAUUAGCAUCAGUAACCUGCCUAUGUGCCAUGCCAGUGUUUUGAGAGAAAGCACUGUCUUCUGCAGAGAGGUCCUGCUGUCUCCUUGUGUUUACAUUGAAGUAAGACCUAACAAAUUUUGCCAUGUAUUUGCUCAGUUUAGGUGUUUUUGUAGGAGCAAGCACAGCAGUUAAGAUAGCCAACUGCUUUCAGUGUCUCCCAGUGCAGUAAUUUGCAAUAGAUGGACCUGUUCUGUGCACAGCUUCUUCAAAACUUAGCUUUCUUUGAUCUGCAGAGAUAUUUUUACAUGAUUUGUGGAAACUAACAAAGCUGUGUAAUCAUGAUGAGUACAAUUUCCUAGCUAGGACGCAGUAACUCUGAGACAGGCAAUGAACUCAGACUGGUUUGCCUAUGUCUGCAUCUAUGUGGAGGCCUACCUUUGACAGGUAGAAUUAGAAAUUCCCUGUGCCCUUUGAAAUUCACUGUGUGCCCUUUGAACUGCUCCUGAAUGGUCUUCAAAAAAGAUAAACACAGAAAAAUCCCAGGAUAUGUUUGUAUCUCUCCUAAAGAAAACAGGACUCUUUUCCCUCAACAUUCAGAGCACCUACCGUAAUUUCUAUGAUUGCUUUCAUUUUACAGAUAUGAACUCAGCUCAUGAAAUGCUAAUGGCAGAGUUUUUGGGUCUGCCUGGGCGUGGGAGACCAUGUGUGCUACAGACAGCAGCCUUGGAUGUAUUGCUUGGCAUCGAUAAAAUUCUCAGACUGUUGAGAUGAUCUUGAAAAUGUUCUUGAGGUUCACCUCAAAAUGCUAUUAAAUAAACUCUAUGAGUCCAGGUUAAAAUACUUCUGUGUAACUGUUUUCUCCCUCUCACUGUGUGUAUCAAAGUUGGAGGGGGAGAACCGUAAACCAGCAUGUACAUUUGAGUAAAUACAGCAGAUGAUGUUGAAAAUGAAAGGAUGGGAGACCUACCACUAUAGUCCGUGAGAAAAACCCACGACUUCAUUCUUUUGAAACAAUUUGAAGAAUACU